rnacentral:rRNA from 1 species
AUGAACGCUAGCUACAGGCUUAACACAUGCAAGUCGAGGGGCAGCAUUUUAGUUUGCUUGCAAACUGAAGAUGGCGACCGGCGCACGGGUGAGUAACACGUAUCCAACCUGCCGAUAACUCCGGAAUAGCCUUUCGAAAGAAAGAUUAAUACCGGAUAGUAUACGAAUAUCGCAUGAUAUUUUUAUUAAAGAAUUUCGGUUAUCGAUGGGGAUGCGUUCCAUUAGUUUGUUGGCGGGGUAACGGCCCACCAAGACUACGAUGGAUAGGGGUUCUGAGAGGAAGGUCCCCCACAUUGGAACUGAGACACGGUCCAAACUCCUACGGGAGGCAGCAGUGAGGAAUAUUGGUCAAUGGGCGAGAGCCUGAACCAGCCAAGUAGCGUGAAGGAUGAAGGCUCUAUGGGUCGUAAACUUCUUUUAUAUGGGAAUAAAGUUUUCCACGUGUGGAAUUUUGUAUGUACCAUAUGAAUAAGGAUCGGCUAACUCCGUGCCAGCAGCCGCGGUAAUACGGAGGAUCCGAGCGUUAUCCGGAUUUAUUGGGUUUAAAGGGAGCGUAGGUGGAUUGUUAAGUCAGUUGUGAAAGUUUGCGGCUCAACCGUAAAAUUGCAGUUGAAACUGGGAGUCUUGAGUACAGUAGAGGUGGGCGGAAUUCGUGGUGUAGCGGUGAAAUGCUUAGAUAUCACGAAGAACUCCGAUUGCGAAGGCAGCUCACUAGACUGUCACUGACACUGAUGCUCGAAAGUGUGGGUAUCAAACAGGAUUAGAUACCCUGGUAGUCCACACAGUAAACGAUGAAUACUCGCUGUUUGCGAUAUACAGUAAGCGGCCAAGCGAAAGCAUUAAGUAUUCCACCUGGGGAGUACGCCGGCAACGGUGAAACUCAAAGGAAUUGACGGGGGCCCGCACAAGCGGAGGAACAUGUGGUUUAAUUCGAUGAUACGCGAGGAACCUUACCCGGGCUUAAAUUGCAACAGAAUAUAUUGGAAACAGUAUAGCCGUAAGGCUGUUGUGAAGGUGCUGCAUGGUUGUCGUCAGCUCGUGCCGUGAGGUGUCGGCUUAAGUGCCAUAACGAGCGCAACCCUUAUCUUUAGUUACUAACAGGUCAUGCUGAGGACUCUAGAGAGACUGCCGUCGUAAGAUGUGAGGGAGGUGGGGAUGACGUCAAAUCAGCACGGCCCUUACGUCCGGGGCUACACACGUGUUACAAUGGGGGGUACAGAAGGCGGCUACCUGGUGACAGGAUGCUAAUCCCAAAAACCUCUCUCAGUUCGGAUCGAAGUCUGCAACCCGACUUCGUGAAGCUGGAUUCGCUAGUAAUCGCGCAUCAGCCAUGGCGCGGUGAAUACGUUCCCGGGCCUUGUACACACCGCCCGUCAAGCCAUGAAAGCCGGGGGUACCUGAAGUACGUAACCGCAAGGAGCGUCCUAGGGUAAAACUGGUAAUUGGGGCU